GUCUUGUGACGUUAGAGACAUAAAUAGAUUUAAAAAAAUAAAAUGCUUAUAGAAUCCAAAAAAAAUAAAAAUAAAUAAAUAAUGUAAUGCAAAGGAAAACAAAAUAUCAAAAUUUCCGUUCAUUAAAAAAAGCAGCUUGAUUACGUCGUUUAACUUCUUUUUUUUUUUUUUUUAAAUAACCGUUGCCUGAUGCGGGAAUUCCGACAGUGACCACACGCUGGAAGACACAAGGCGAUUAUGUUCGCGUUCAUUAAAUGGGUGGAGGAUGAGAAAUUCCCAAUUCUGCCCACUGAACAUAUUAGAAAAUUUUAUGAGGAUGAAUACACAGCGGGAAUGGACGAAAAUUACAUUUACUUGGUGGAGUUGCGCCAAGGCGUCAAAGAGCCGAAAGGGGGGUGGGUGGCCGGCCUAUGAGGCCUCCAUCAUCAAGAUAGCAGAUAACAUCAAUUAAUAGGUAGUAGGCCUAUGUAGCGUUAUUCUACCUCCUCAGAAAGGGAAAGAACUUUACAAAUGAAACUUAAGGAAAUUGAAGAACAGCUACCCAAGUCAGACACUGAAGAGAAAGAGUAAACCUUCAAUGAAUCUCAUAGAGGCCGCAGAGAUGAGAGCGGAACCAGCAGCUAAGAAAAAGGUACACCUCACAGACCUACCAAAUGAUCUAAAGGUAUGGAAUGAAAGAAAAAUUCUACAGCGUGUGAUAAAUCAGCCGAGAGAAGAGAACACGAAUCUAAAUAAAGAGAAUGAGAGGCUGAAAAAUUAAAUGCUUGAACAUUCCAUCUCAUGUUCCCAUCUCACAUGCUCAUAAACCUUUGGAAUCAAAUGAAGAUUUCCU